AGCUCGAGUUAACUACAUUUGUAACAAGUUGGGUAUAAUAAAUAUCUAUACUCCAACUUGAGGAGUGUUAUGGAAAUCAAAUGUAAAUAUAUUGUAUAUCCUUUCCUUACUAAAUAGCUUGAUUCUAGUAUUGAUUCUAGGGCUUGAUUUUAGGAAUUUAAUUGGGUUUUACAUUUCUUUUUAGUGAGAGAACAUGUAUAUAAAAUGUAUUAUUUCCCUAUAUAAAUACACAUCAUAUUAUUAUCCUCUACAGAGAACAUUGUGGUUUUCAUUUUUUCAGAUAUGUAAACAUGUCUAACUUACAGAAUUAGUUUUUGAUUUCCUUGACUUAGCUAGAAUUGUUUAUAUAAUAGAGAAACAAGGAAUUUUAGUACCUAGUUUCCUUUCUAUAUGAAAGGAAUUAAUAUAAUUGGAUACAAGGAAUCGUUUGACCUAACUCUCUAAAGUUGGAAGUUAGUUCAUAAAAUAUUUCUAGCUUAUUAAAAUUGAGUAAAAUAAAUUUUAUUGAUAUAAAGACUAUAAAAGGACUUCUAGGAACACAUAUAUUUUUUAUAAUUGAAGCAAUAGAGAUAAUUAUUUAGACUACAAUAAAGUUUAGGGCGUGUUAUAGGUUAUAGGAAAGAAAUAUAUUAAUAUAGGAAGUAAAUAUUGAUAGAUGGGUCAGUUGCUUAAUUUUAAGGAUUGUAUAAUCAUAGGCUUGAUUUUCCUUUUUAGAUACAGUCUCUCAUGUAUAAAUAGGUUGUAAUUUCUAUUGUAAAAUAUAACAAAUAUUAUCUUUCUACCGGAUAUUAUGUUUUUGCGGGAGGUAACCUGGUCUCAUGGAAAAGUAAGAAGCAAAAUGUGGUCUCCCGUUCUAGUAAUGAAUCUGAAUAUCGAGCCAUGGCACAAGCCGUUUGUGAAGUUUUGUGGGUACGUCAACUAUUGGAAGAAGUUGGGUUCACAAAUUUGGUGCCUGCUAAGUUGUGUGAUAAUCAAGCAGCUAUCCACAUUGCCUCCAAUCCAGUAUUUCAUGAGAGGACUAAACACAUCGAGAUUGAUUGUCAUUUUGUUCGUGAAAAGGUCCAAUAAAAGAUAAUAUCAACUGGACAUAUCCGAACAGGAGAACAACUAAGAAAUAUCUUCACUAAAGCUCUAAAUGGGACUCGAGUUGAUUAUAUAUAUAACAAGUUGGGCAUGAUUAACAUCUAUGCUCCAACUUGAGGGAGAGUGUUAUAGGAAGUAAAUAUGUUAAUAUAGGAAGUAAAUAUUGAUAGAUGGGUCAGUUGCUUAAUCUUAGAGAUUAUAUAAUCGUAGGCUUGAUUUUCCUUCCUGUUUAGAUAUAGUCUCUCAUGUAUAAAUAGGUUGUAAUUUCUAUUGUAAAAUACAAUAAAUAUUAUUUUUCUACAGGACCAAAACUUAAGUAGCAUAAUUGGACAUUGAAUUAUUAGUCAUGCAGGCCCCAAAUAGGCAUGUGACCAUUGUUAUGGGCUCGAGGCCAUGGUGUUCUUGUCGUUGAAUUCUCCUUGCAAGGAGUUUGGUCCAAAUUACAGAGGAUUCAAGACUUAAUAGUUAGCUCUUCGAUUUGAGUUCAUGGGUAUGCAAAUCACUGCUUUCAUGCAUUGCGUAUCACCACUUCAUUUGGGUUCGUGGACAUGAUUUUUGUUUUGAGAUUCUGCUUAUCCUUCUUGCUGAGAUAUUUAGGUUUUGCGCUUCUAGUGAUUAAUAUCUGAGUUCCUCGCUUGCCUACAGUUAUUGCUUUUUUAGUUGGGACAAAGUUUUAUAUUAUCUGUUUCAUGGGAUGUAUAACAUCAUGGGAUUGGUUGAUUGUUGUUGAUUAAUGUAUCAAUGCUAUGGAAGAAUCAUGGGAUUGAGCUUUUAUUUGCUGAUACAUCAAAGAUUCAAAAUGGAUAAACCACAACAUGUGUUUGUGUUUUUCUUUGGAUGAAUAAAAUCGGGAAGCUUUUGUUCGGCUUAACGAUUUACCCAACUGAUUUUGCGGUUCGGUUUGAUUUGGUUAUACAAAUAGUUUGAUUCGAUUUGAUUUAUUUUAUAAAAAUAAGCUUUUUAGUUUUCCUAUUUUUCUAAUUUAGUUCGGUUUGUAACUCAACCGACCGAUUAUACAACCUUAAAUAUAUCCUUAGCAUGAAUAGUACAUUCAUCUAUAAUUCCCCAACUUGAGAGAGCCAAUUAUACUGCUGCUGUGACUCUUUUAAACUUCCAAUUGUUGGAAAACUUGAUGAUCCUAUGGCCAGCGCAAAAAAAGUUUUAAAUAAAUGAUCCUAUUGCAAGCGCAAAAAUGGCCUUGUUUUGUAUGUUCAAAGCAUAAUACAAAAAUAUCUCCUACUUCCAAUUACUGGUGCUUCCUUAUAUUUAAGGUUUUAUGAUUUUAUCUAUGUCCAGAGUACACCACCUCAUAAAAUAAUAACUCCUCCAACUCGCAAAACACUAGAUAAAAGAUGAAAUAUAGUGUUAAUUUUCAAUAUUUGAAGGGUAUAAUCAAGUAAAA
rnacentral:lncRNA from 1 species